AUCUAAAGGAAAUGCUGAAUAUAACAAAACUGCAACAGUGAAUAACAUUUUCUGAAUGAAACCAAAGCAUUUCCUUUUAGCUCUGUUCAGUACCGAUGUAUGUCUCCCUGACAUGAUCUUGAUACCUCACAAAAGCUGGAGAUUAGAUGUUUUCCAUUAUUAAUUUUUUGCUAUGGACAGAUUUUCUGAGUGUGCCACAAGGUAUACAUCACCCAUCAUACGAAUCCCCAGGAGAAUUUGGAAACAAGAGUGCCAUUAAAUGGAAGAUUGUCAGAGAGAACCAUACAAUUUGUGUCACUGGUCUGCCGAAGAGGUUCUUCCCCGAAGAGUAACGGGAAUUUUUCAGAGUCCUGCAUCAAAUUGGCAAUAAUAUUAAAUGGCAAGUGUUGCAUGAUUACAUCAGCACUUCUCAUAUUUUCUCUCCAGCACCCCAGUAUACUGAAUUAAUUCUGUAUGUCCCUUGGGUUGGAGGCAGAAAAUAGCAAGAAAAAUGCAAAAUAAUAUGCCACCAUUUUUAGAGGAG
rnacentral:lncRNA from 1 species